CACCGGCUUUGACGUCUCUGCCUGCUGGUCUGUUUCAGAUGACAAGUCCUCUCUGCACCACUCCAGGCCCCAGGCGCACACCCACACGGGGCCAGGCCUGUGCACACGCAGGCAGUCACGUAGCGGGAGGAGGCCGCCGGGCCCCCAGGGGAAGGCAGCCAGGCCCGGAUCCGGGGCAGCCUCCCAAGGGGCCUCUGGAAUGCACCGCCCACAGGGCAGUGACGAGGUCCCGGCUUCCUGUGGGACUCGGGCUGCCAGCCGUCUGCUCCCGGGGGACAGCUGGGACUCUGGACUGGAAUGCAGAGCAGGCAGGCGCCCUGGCCACGGGACUGCAUCGGCUGCCAGGCUGUCCUCUGUUUCUGCCCUGGCUGAAGGGGACAACGCCGUCACUUCUCCAAGUCACUGGGAAAGAGGGCAUGGAAGCCAGACAGGUCACAUGUGGGCCGCACAUCAGCCCCCACAUCCCCCACUGGGCGGUCGCCACCCCCCAUGCCCGGAGGGGUGUGCAAACCUGCCAAAGACCCGGCUGCCCUGGACUCAGACACCAGGUCUCACUUUUGAUGUGAAACCACCAUCCAUCUGACUUCGGGCUGAAAGUAAACAUAUUGCAAGAGUGUAAAUAAAAACUCCUUCCAGUGUGGCAG